CCUACGGGUGGCAGCAGUGGGGAAUAUCGCACAAUGGGCGCAAGCCUGAUGCAGCCAUGCCGCGUGUAUGAAGAAGGCCCUAGGGUUGUAAAGUACUUUCAGUCGGGAGGAAGGCGUUGAUGCUAAUAUCAUCAACGAUUGACGUUGCCGACAGAAGAAGCACCGGCUAACUCCGUGCCAGCAGCCGCGGUAAUACGGAGGGUGCAAGCGUUAAUCGGAAUUACUGGGCGUAAAGCGCACGCAGGCGGUUGAUUAAGUUAGAUGUGAAAUCCCCGGGCUUAACCUGGGAAUGGCAUCUAAGACUGGUCAGCUAGAGUCUUGUAGAGGGGGGUAGAAUUCCAUGUGUAGCGGUGAAAUGCGUAGAGAUGUGGAGGAAUACCGGUGGCGAAGGCGGCCCCCUGGACAAAGACUGACGCUCAGGUGCGAAAGCGUGGGGAGCAAACAGGAUUAGAUACCCGCGUAGUC
rnacentral:rRNA from 1 species